AGCACUGACGCUUUUCUGGGGUUAAAAUUUGGUUUGAAUUCUGGUUUGGCUGAAAGGUGUUGAGUAUUACGACUCUGUUGAUUUUUGAGUUGAAUAGAAAAUCUAAUUGCUGAAAUCUAUGUUCAUAUUUUGCUGUUGUUGUUUGAUGCUUGUUCUGUCAUAGAAUCCUCACCUCUUUUAUUCUAUUUUACUUCCUGGUAUAUCCUUCAGAACUUACGGGCUGAUAAGCUGAAGUUAUGGACUUGGUUUUUGUAUGAGAUAUUCGAAGUAUAUCAAAUGGAAAUGAAGUCUGAAUUCAGUUCUGUGUGAGGCAUGUAAUUUGAGUCCUGAGAUUAGUUUUAAUGUAUUGUAGUUUAUCAUCCAUUCUAGCUCAACUAUAUGAGUAUGAUCAUUUGAGCAUUUGCUCAUUCUGAAGCUAAGAUUUCACUUAACC
rnacentral:lncRNA from 1 species